rnacentral:rRNA from 1 species
UACGGGGGGUGCGAGCGUUAAUCGGAAUCACUGGGCGUAAAGGGCACGCAGGCGGACAUUUAAGUGAGGUGUGAAAUCCCCGGGCUUAACCUGGGAAUUGCAUGUCAUACUGGGAGUCUAGAGUCUUGUAGGGAGGGGUAGAAUUCCACGUGUAGCGGUGAAAUGCGUAGAGAUGUGGAGGAAUACCGAAGGCGAAGGCAGCCCCUUGGGAAUGUACUGACGCUCAGGUGCGAAAGCGUGGGGAGCAAAAAGG